rnacentral:rRNA from 1 species
GGGCCCGCACAAGCGGUGGAGUAUGUGGUUUAAUUCGAUGCAACGCGAAGAACCUUACCAGGGUUUGACAUCCUGCGAAUCUCUUGGAAACGAGAGAGUGCCUUCGGGAACGCAGUGACAGGUGGUGCAUGGCUGUCGUCAGCUCGUGUUGUGAAAUGUUGGGUUAAGUCCCGCAACGAGCGCAACCCUUAUCCUUGUUUGCCAGCGAGUAAUGUCGGGAACUCCAGGGAGACUGCCGGUGAUAAACCGGAGGAAGGUGGGGACGACGUCAAGUCAUCAUGGCCCUUACGAGUAGGGCUACACACGUGCUACAAUGGCGCAUACAGAGGGCAGCAAGCUAGCGAUAGUAAG